rnacentral:rRNA from 1 species
GAAUCCCGUCUUUGACACGGACUGCCUGUACAUUAUGGUGUGCUCUCGAAGAGUCGAGUUGUUUGGGAAUGCAGCUCAAAAUGGGUGGUAGAUGCCAUCUAAAGCUAAAUAUUGGCGAGAGACCGAUAGCGAACAAGUACCGUGAGGGAAAGAUGAAAAGAACUUUGGAAAGAGAGUUAAACAGUACGUGAAAUUGCUGAAAGGGAAACGCUUGAAGUCAGUCGCGUUGGCUAGAAAUCAACCUUGCUUUUGCUUUGUGUACUUUCUGGUUGACGGGUCAGCAUCAAUUUUGACCACUGGAUAAAGUCUUUGGGAAUGUGGUAUCUUCGGAUGUGUUAUAGCCCAUUGUCGCAUACGGUGGUUGGGAUUGAGGAACUCAGCACGCCGCAGGGCCGGGUUUCGACCACGUUCGUGCUUAGGAUGCUGGCAUAAUGGCUUUAAUCGACCCGUCUUGAAACACGGACCAAGGAGUCUAACAUGCCUGCGAGUGUUUGGGUGGAAAAACCCAUGCGCGCAAUGAAAGUGAAAGUUGAGAUCCUCUUCAAAGGGGGAGCAUUGACGCCCGGACCAGACCUUUUGUGACGGAUCCGCGGUAGAGCAUGCAUGUUGGGACCCGAAAGAUGGUGAACUAUGCCUGAAUAGGGUGAAGCCAGAGGAAACUCUGGUGGAGGCUCGUAGCGAUUCUGACGUGCAAAUCGAUCGUCAAAUUUGGGUAUAGGGGCGAAAGACUAAUCGAACCAUCUAGUAGCUGGUUCCUGCC